AAUAGAUACCCCGGUAGUCCACGCCGUAAACGUUGGGCGCUAGGUGUGGGGCUCAUUCCACGAGUUCCGUGCCGCAGCUAACGCAUUAAGCGCCCCGCCUGGGGAGUACGGCCGCAAGGCUAAAACUCAAAGGAAUUGACGGGGGCCCGCACAAGCGGCGGAGCAUGUUGCUUAAUUCGAUGCAACGCGAAGAACCUUACCUAGGCUUGACAUGCACGGAAAUCUCCCAGAGAUGGGGGGUCCGUAAGGGCCGUGCACAGGUGGUGCAUGGUUGUCGUCAGCUCGUGUCGUGAGAUGUUGGGUUAAGUCCCGCAACGAGCGCAACCCUCGUCCUAUGUUGCCAGCACGUGAUGGUGGGGACUCAUAGGAGACUGCCGGGGUCAACUCGGAGGAAGGUGGGGAUGGACGUCGAAAUCAUCAUGCCCCUUAUGUCUAGGGCUGCAAACAUGCUACAAUGGCCGGUACAAAGGGCUGCGAUACCGCGAGGUGGAGCGAAUCCCAAAAAGCCGGUCUCAGUUCGGAUUGGGGUCUGCAACUCCG
rnacentral:rRNA from 1 species